UUGACUUAGUGGCGGACGGGUGAGUAACGCGUGGGUAACCUGCCUCACACAGGGGGAUAACAGUUGGAAACGACCGCUAAUACCGCAUAACCCGCUAGGGCCGCAUGGCCCGGACGGAAAAGAUUUAUCGGUGUGAGAUGGACCCGCGUUGGAUUAGCUAGUUGGCAGGGUAACGGCCUACCAAGGCGACGAUCCAUAGCCGGCCUGAGAGAGUGAACGGCCACAUUGGGACUGAGACACGGCCCAA
rnacentral:rRNA from 1 species